CCGAGUUUACAACUCCCAAACCCCUGUGAACAUACCUUAAUGUUGCCUCGGCGGAUCAGCCCGCGCCCCGUAAAACGGGACGGCCCGCCAGAGGACCCAAACUCUAAUGUCUUUAGUGGUUUUCUCCUCUGAGUGACACAUAAACAAAUAAAUAA
rnacentral:misc_RNA from 1 species